CAUCCUCUGCUAAUGCGCGUGACGAGCGCGUACCCGUGUUUUGAUCCGAUGAUCCUCGAACCGGGAGCCUUCAGAUCUCGUGCGGAGGUCAAGCCCUGUUGAGGCGGGGAAGACCGAAACACUUGUCGGGGCACCCACCUGGCUAAAGGGAUCAAACCCCUGCGUUUCGCACGGCACCCGGUGGAGGAUUU
rnacentral:other from 1 species